ensembl:lncRNA
GGAAUAAAUGAUCACCUCAGCAAGACGAGUCUCUCCAGAUAAACCUGAAGUUAGAAUCUCCUUCAGUCUCGACAGCACCUCAGGGUUAAAUGAUGCAGAAGAAGCCCGCCCAGCCUUUCCCGACCUUGAAAAGCGUCUUCAGCCAGUACUGCCAUGUCAGUCUUUGAAGGAGUCUGUCCAAGUCUACAAGGACCAUUGCAAGAUGGCCAAAGAAUUCCGGCAAGUCAAAAUCGAUAUCGCUCAGCUUGAGGACAGAAAGUAAGUUGGAUAUUAGGAAUGGGCGAAAGGUUUUGUUAUGCGCCUGCUGGACCGGUGUCCUCUGGAAAACAUUUGCUCUGUAUGUCACAGGGACAUGACGUGCUGAUUUUGGCAGAUGUUUGGAAUGUUUGCCUUUUUCGAUGUUUGAUUUAGUGUUUUGCUGGAUGUUUUCAAUAUUAUCUCUCGAAAUCUGGGUCGGGGUUUCUGAUGAAGUUUAACUAUGGAAGCACUCUGUCCAUCACCCUCCAAAUCACAUACCAUAGAGUUUCCUUCAGGUGGAGGGAGCAGCAGCGCAACGGCAGCGUUGGUGUCCCUUACCAAAUUGUGCCCACGAGAACCUAGGUUUGAGUCGAGAUUUACCUUCAGUUGAUGUUAAAGCUUUAGGCAGUUGCAUCCAGGCCCAGACCUCCUCUCUCGGGACAUAUUUUGAAGAUGGGAAGUGAGGCAUUUUGAGAGUUACCAUUAUACUGAUCGCACCACACUUACACUAACAGAGAAAGGUGCCUUUCGGUUUUGCUUCAAUGAGUAUCAGAACAAGCUCAUCUGUUUUCUUGCCUAUUUUGAAAUCAAGUGCUCGCUGAAACAUAACUGGUGAGGUCAUCACACAGGCUUACAGUUGUCAUGGGACAGUACAACAAGCAUACACACAGCCAAACAUUAACGGACAAGGCGCUAGCAGUGAGAGCAGAUAUCCUCCCGCCAAUUUCUCAAUUCAGUAUAUAUAUAAUGUAGAUAGAUAGAUAGACACACUACUAAUCUCCCUUUACAGUUAUGUAAUGUGAUACAUGUGUUGUGUGUUUGUGGGCAACAUUCCACAAUGAAUGAUCAGGGGAUUUCCUUACAGAUCAUACUUGAAUGGCAUUGUGACGUACAAUACCUGUUGUUAUCUGUCACUGGGAGCACACACACACACUGUGUAUUAUUGCUAAAAGGAUCAUGGAUAAUGGUCGGCUGUAAGUUUAACAGAGGUUAACAAAAAUCAGAUUAAGCGGAACUGUCAGUGAUUCCUUCCCUUCAGCUUGGGUAAUGUAAUUUUAGCUGCAAAGUUUUGUGCAAUUGUAUUUUAUGAUUAAAAAGUGCUGGUGGAAGUCUGGCUCAGCCGACAGACAAAAAUAAUUCUGUGUACUUCCCUUUUCUUUUGUCCUUUCUGGAUCCAUGUAGCUAAUGUGUGUGUGUGUGUGUGUGUGUGUGUGUGUGUGUGUGUGUGUGUGUGUGUGUGUGUGUGUGUGUGUGUACUUGCUCUAUAAAAAACACAGAUGAUCAGCCUUUUAUGGUAAAAACCCUACAGCCUUCACGAAUAUAAAAAUUAUACAGAGUUAUGAUCCCUUACACGGAUACGCAUUUGUACAGUGCUUCUUCACCACUAUUUGAAAUAAGUUGUUAGUUUCGCCUGCUCUCAUAUAUGAGUAGAAAUAAAAUUGAAUUGUCGUUUCUCUGUCA